UAUUUAUGUAAUUCUCAAAUCUUUUGGCCACGACUGUAUAUAUAGAGAGAGGAAACAGAAGUUCAGUGGCAGUAACAGCUGUUAUCAAAAAUGUACAGUAGGUGGCGAUAUUUGCCACUUCCACCAAGGCGAAGAAGAAAGGACGUAAAGUCAGCAGUCACUCCAACGUGGUUGAUACACGUGUGAGGAGAGGAUAAUUAUCAGCAGCUGGAAGAACACACCAGUAUAGAAGAACAGUGCCCUUGGAUUUUUAUUUAUAUUUUUACAAUAGAAUCCACGUUAAUUUCAUAGCCACUACAUUUAGUUUGGUUAUUGUCAAACCGUAGGCUACAGCACACUCAGUAUGAAUCCUGAGCUUUAUAGCAGCUUGCAAUAUUCUAAGUGGUAUUAAAUUUUAAUUGUGUUUAAGUGGAUUUAAAAAUAAAGGACAAAUUCUUACACUGGAAGUCUCAUGAUUGCACUGUAGUUCUGCUGAAUGGUUUUAAAUAACUGAUAAACUUUAAAUUUUGAUAAUUUAAAAUAAGAUAAAUGCAAUAAAGCUUCAAAUUGUUAUCAAAUUUUGACCAUUAACACAUUUAAUGCAUAUAAGAGACUGGGGCUAGUUGGCACAAAAGCUACAAUCUCUGUAAUUUGAUUUUUUUGUCUGCGAUUUUGUAUUUUGGUAUGUUUUGUAACUUCCUGUAGAUGUUCAGUAAAUAAGCAAACACAUUAAAAAAA